UCCUUAGAUGUUCUGGGCCGCACGCGCGCUACACUGAUGCAUUCAACGAGUUUUGUUUGUUCCUUGGCCGAGAGGCCUGGGCAAUCUUUUGAACUUGCAUCGUGAUAGGGAUAGAUUAUUGCAAUUAUUAAUCUUGAACGAGGAAUUCCUAGUAAACGCAGAUCAUCAAUCUGCAUUGAUUACGUCCCUGCCCUUUGUACACACCGCCCGUCGCACCUACCGAUUGAAUGGUCCGGUGAAGCCUCGGGAUUGUGGUUGGUUUCCUUUAUUGGAGAUUGAUUGCGAGAACUUGUCUAAACCUUAUCAUUUAGAGGAAGGUGAAGUCGUAACA
rnacentral:rRNA from 1 species